GGUUAUACUGUCUCCUUUCUCUAAUCAGUGAAAUUAAUCUCCCCGUGAAGAAGCGGGGAUAAAACUAUAAGACGAGAAGACCCCAUGGAGCUUUAAACCUAGCUACACCCCGAACCUUUAUACCCAUCUAUUAUCUGAACCCUGCAAGCUAGGCUUUAGGUUGGGGUGACCGCGGAGUAAAACAAAACCUCCGCAAUGAACGAAACUACCAUCUUAUCUAAGAAUAACCCCUCUAAGAAUUAGUACUCUAACAUAAAUGAUCCAAUUAUUGAUCAACGGACCAAGUUACCCUGGGGAUAACAGC
rnacentral:rRNA from 1 species